rnacentral:rRNA from 1 species
CCUACGGGAGGCUGCAGUGGGGAAUAUUGCACAAUGGGGGAAACCCUGAUGCAGCGACGCCGCGUGAGUGAGGAAGUAUUUCGGUAUGUAAAGCUCUAUCAGCAGGGAAGAAAAAAGAGGUUACCUGAUAAAAAAGCCCCGGCUAACUACGUGCCAGAAGCGGCGGUAAUAGGUAGGGGGCAAGCGUUAUCCGGAUUUACUGGGGGUAAAGGGAGCGUAGACGGUAAGGCAAGUCAGAAGUGAAAACCCAAGGCUCAACCAUGGGCCUGCUUUUGAAACUGUCAAACUAGAGUACGGGAGAGGUAAGAGGAAUUCCUAGUGUAGCGGUGAAAUGCGUAGAUAUUAGGAGGAACACCAGUGGCGAAGGCGUCUUACUGGACCGAAACUGACGUUGAGGCUCGAAAGCGUGGGGAGCAAACAGGAUUAGAUACCCGAGUAGUC